rnacentral:sRNA from 1 species
UCUCUCGGGCAAGACCUCCUACUUCCACCUGCUCACCUGGUCACUCCCCUUUGUCCUCACUGUGGCAAUCCUUGCUGUGGCGCAGGUGGAUGGGGACUCUGUGAGUGGCAUUUGUUUUGUGGGCUACAAGAACUACCGAUACCGUGCGGGCUUCGUGCUGGCCCCAAUCGGCCUGGUGCUCAUCGUGGGAGGCUACUUCCUCAUCCGAGGAGUCAUGACUCUGUUCUCCAUCAAGAGCAACCACCCCGGGCUGCUGAGUGAGAAGGCUGCCAGCAAGAUCAACGAGACCAUGCUGCGCCUGGGUGAGUGGCCCCGGGGGACUUCGGUCUGAGGUCCUGGCCAGCCCAACACUGCACCCUCCUGGGGCUAUGCGACCGGCAGGAUGCAGUAAGUCAGUGGGACAAGUUAGCCAUGGGGACAAGGACAAGGGGUGUGUGUAGGUGGUAGUGGUAGUGGCAGCUCAAAAGAAGGGGGUCUACUCGGGGGGAAGAAUUCAGUCAAGUUCAUGCCGGGACUGGUUCCUCCUGCCCACUACGUCCCACGUGAUCCUUCCCACAGUUGCUUCAAGUGCCCUUCUUAUUUUAUUUUAGAGAAAGCAGUUCUUGGACUGAGCCCAGCAUGAGUUCACCCCAGCCCCAGCUGAGUGAACUUUGAGGCCCAGUGGGGCAGACUCUCUCCUCCCCACUGCUGCUGCGGGACUGGGCUUGGUAACGUCCUGUCCUGCCCCUGUCC